rnacentral:sRNA from 1 species
CCACUGCUGAACAUAGGCCUCUCCAACU